GUAAGGAAUAUUGGGCAAUGGAGGCAACUCUGACCCAACCAUGCCGCGUGCAGGAAGACGGCCCUACGGGUUGUAAACUGCUUUUAAUAGGGAGUAAGGUUAGUUACGUGUAACUAAUUGCAAGUACCUAUAGAAUAAGGAUCGGCUAACUCCGUGCCAGCAGCCGCGGUAAUACGGAGGAUCCAAGCGUUAUCCGGAUUUAUUGGGUUUAAAGGGUGCGCAGGCGGACUAAUAAGUCAGUGGUGAAAUCUACAUGCUUAACAUGUAUCGUGCCAUUGAUACUGUUGGACUAGUAUGCAAAUGACGUAGCUGGAAUGUGUUAUGUAGCGGUGAAAUGCUUAGAUAUAACACAGAACACCGAUCGUGAAGACAGGUUACGAAUUUGUAAUAGACGCUCAGGCACGAAAGCGUGGGGAUCAAACAGGAUUAGAAACCCCAGUAGUCC
rnacentral:rRNA from 1 species